CGGCUAAAGCGUGCAAUGUUUUUAAUGAGAUAUUGAAAACUCUUAAAAACCUAUGGUCAUGCUUCCACGAGGUUAAUAUGCAAAGGGUUGCUCCAAAGAGUUACCAGCAAGCUGCUGGAGUAGUCUUCGUCACACGAAAGUUUUAGCUAACUUUUGCAUCGAUCAGGACCCGGGAAUCAACUUGGGCAGCAAAGUCAUGGCUUCUGGGCCAAGUCAGGGCUCUGUAGUAAUACACUCAAAAAUUGUUUCAACCAGUUAAAUGUUUACGAGGACAUGUUUUACAAGUUUGCAUAGUGCAUCAUCACAACUGCUCCUUGAUUCAACCCUCUAUCUCAGUGUGUCUGAAUUUUGAAACC